CAAUAGCGUAUAUUAAAGUUGUUGCAGUUAAAAAGCUCGUAGUUGGAUUUCUGAUCGAGACAUCAGGUCGGGUCCGAGAGGAUCAUGUACUUUGAUUUUGUUUUGAUCAUCCUUGGGGAGAGCAUUUCUGGCAUUCAGUUGUCGGGAUUGGGAUCCUCAUCGUUUACUGUGAAAAAAUUAGAGUGUUCAAAGCAGGCCUCGGCCUCUGAAUACAUUAGCAUGGAAUAAUAAGGUAGGACUUUGGUGGUCUAUUUUGUUGGUUUGCACGCCAAAGUAAUGAUUAAUAGGGAUAGUUGGGGGUAUUCGUAUUCAAUUGUCAGAGGUGAAAUUCUUGGAUUUAUGGAAGACGAACUACUGCGAAAGCAUUUACCAAGGAUGUUUUCAUUAA
rnacentral:rRNA from 1 species